CCUACGGGUGGCAGCAGUGGGGAAUAUUGCACAAUGGGGGAAACCCUGAUGCAGCGACGCCGCGUGAGUGAAGAAGUAUGUCGGGAUGUAAAGCUCUAGCAGCAGGGAAGAAAAUGACGGUACCUGAGUAAGAAGCCCCGGCUAACGACGUGCCAGCAGCCGCGGUAAUACGUAGGGGGCAAGCGUUAUCCGGAUUUACUGGGUGUAAAGGGAGCGUAGACGGCAGCACAAGUCUGGAGUGAAAUGCCGGGGCUUAACCCCGGAACUGCUUUGGAAACUGUGCAGCUCGAGUGCAGGAGAGGUAAGUGGCAUUCCUCUUGUAGCGGUGCACUGCGUAGCUAUUAGGCGGACCCCCAGUGGCGAAGGCGGCUUACUGGACUGUACCUGCCGUUGAGGCUCGACCGCGUGGGGAGCAAACCGGAUUCGAUACCCCAGUAGUC
rnacentral:rRNA from 1 species